UGACCGAUCGAAAUUUCCCUUGUGUAGUAUAUUUCAAUUAACGUUCUUUUUAAAUUCUAUUGUUUUUUAUGUAACUUCAUGUUAUUGAUUGUAAAUAAUAACUGUCAUUCAAAAUAAACUUAUCUUUGAGUAAACAUAUUUGCAGUUUAUCUAAGUUUACUCUUUACAUACACAAUAUUUUGGUGUCAGAAUUGGUUUCGAAAAUACGCCAAUUACUUGAUUUUCUAUAUUCUACUACAAUAACACGCAGAGAGAAAUAGUGAAAAGUGCAUAUUUUCAUUACAAAGUCAACAUAACCAUGUCGGACGUAGAGGAACCUUCUACUGCAUUGAUUGCUGCUGUGACGAUUGACAAAGGCGUUGGCGGAUGCUAUGAGGAUUGAUAUUCCACAAGUUACCACUUCUGUUAUAAACCAGCCUGAAUCUAGUUCUCAAGUUCAACCCAAAGCUCCUCCGUUCAAGUAUCAAGAAUAUCGUUUGUCCGACGGAAUGACAGUCGACGAUUAUUUCAAGAGAUUCGAGUGGGCAUUACAACUGAGUAAAAUUUAGGAAGAAGAAUAUGGUAAUUUCGGUCGAGUAUAUAUGGGUGCAGAACUUAAUAAUGCUCUGAAAAUUCUUGUUGCUCCUGAUACACCAGAAAGUCGCACGUAUCAACAAAUUCGCACUGUUUUAUUUGCGCAUUUUGACGUCGAGAAAAAUAAAUAUGCAGAAAGUGUUAAGUACCGACAAAUUGUACAACUACAAAAUGAAUCCAUUGCUAAUUUCUCACGACGAUUAAAACAAGGAGCAACGUUCUGCGAAUACGACACAUUUCUCAACAGUAUGCUGAUUGAGCAGCUCCUACAUGGUCUCACCGAUCGUAAUAUGCGCGUUUAAGGACGCUAAUGAAAUAGCACAUACAUUGGAAUCAACUCGUCAAACAGCGGAUGAGGUUACCUCUACUUCUAAUAAGAUACAUGCACUAUCUUAUUCAACGACGCAUUUCAAGCAUAAACGGAAUGCUUUGCAUACAUCGCGCAGUGCUUCUCGGAAGCAAGAUCAUGGCGAACAACAAGGUCAGUAGUACGCUUGUUUUGAAUGCGGAGAACGUCACAAACGCAAUGCGUGUCCAUUUCGUACUUCUAAGCGUCAUAAAUGCAAAAAACAUGGGCACAAAGCGAAAGUUUGCAGAGCUUCAUCUUCACUUUCUACUUCUCAAAUACAAAGUUCUGAAGAGCCUGCACAACAAAUAGACACAUUGAAAUGUUUCAACGCAGUCAAAGAAAUCCACAUUAUUGAUUCUUGUGCCAACUUCUAAGAAAUUCAUGAGUUACUCGCAACAUCAUCUCAACUGCAUCGGUCAACUACAUCUCGUCUACAUCUCGUCAACUUUCAGUCUCCGUUAUUCAAGGCUCUUACGAUUACUUAUUUGGUCGUGAAUGGAUCGCACAAUUCAGUCACGGAAUUGAUUGGACCGAACUCUUUUCUCCAAUCAAGGUUAAUGAACUUUCUACUCUUCCAUCUUCAUUAACUCGUGAUCAACAAACACAGCUGGAUCAACUUUUGACCAGGUACAUUGAAGUUUUCAGCGAAAUAGCUGGAAAAUUUACUGGGCCUCCAGUUAAGGUAUAUUUUAAACCUGGGAACUUCUCCUGUUUUUGCUCGUGCUCAAGAUAUAGCAUAUGCGUUGCGUGACAAAUAUUCUAAAGCAGUUGACGCUAAACUUGCGUCUGGAUUUUACAAAAAAGUCGAUUUUUCCGAGUGGGCUUCGCCUACACACGUCGUUAUUAAAAAAAAAUGGUGAUAUUCGUAUAACUGGCAAUUAUAAACCGACAUUGAAUCCACGUAUAAUAAUAGAUGAAUGUCCUAUUCCAAAACCUAGUGACAUUUUCAACAAAGUAAAAGUAGCUAAAAUUGACUCUCCACUAUGAUAAUUCAAGAAAUCUUUAUAAAGGUGGGAGGAAAUGUAAUAUAUUUCAAUUAACGUUCUUUUUAAGUUCUAUUGUUUUUCAUGCAACUUCAUAUUAUCGAUUGUAAAUAAUAACUGUCAUUCUAAAUAAACCUAUAUUUGAGUAAACAUCUUUGCACUUUCUCUAAGUUUACUCUAUACAUACACAAUACCUUGGUAGAAUGAUUUAUUAAACCUAAGAGCGCUACAAGCUUGGUUUUUCAUUACAGGCUUUAUUUAAAAAGUUAUAUGCAAUAGAAAAACAGUGUUUUUAGCGACAACAUCCCCUUAAUUGAAUACAACAAUUUUCUGUUUGCUAUAUUAUGAUUAAAAUAUAAUAUUGUCAUAAACCUGACUUUUUUAUUGAUCUCAGUUCUUUCAUAAUCUGUAAUUUCGUUGCAAAUAAAAUAACGCUAUUACGUUACAUUAUGCAUCAAACUCGCCUAACCCUUUUACUUUGGUUAAAAGUUUUAUUUUUAUAGAUUACAUAUUAUUCUUAGUUUUAAUGCCUUUUUAUUAAUUGUAUUUGAUAUCUGUUUUCAUAAUAAUAGGCCCUUUCUAUUUUUGCUCACGAUAAAUUGAGUUUAAAUAACGUAUAAUUCUAAUUCAGUUCUAAAAAUUUAAAUGAAUUUUGAGAAAUUAAGAUUUAACCAUAUAUGCUGAUCAAUUUCAUUUUUUCUUCUCAAGUUUUGUUAUUGCAUUACAAAUCUAUGUGAUGGUUUGGAAACGUUAAUAUAGUAAGUUUUCAAGAAUACUAAUAUGAAUUAAAUUACCCAUCCAAGCAAUGACCCGCAGUGAGCACAUGAUAUUGGUCUAUAAUUAUUCCACCGCAGUGAUGAUAAUUGCUGUCUGCAUUUUGUAUUGAAACCUGUUCAAUCAUUUUAAUAAACCAUGACAAAACACA